rnacentral:sRNA from 2 species
CGCCGAGUCCUGCCGCUGCCCGGAUGACCGGUCGACAGAAGUGCAUCGGCAGGAGUGGAGGACCCAGCAAGACGGGUCGCCGGAGAGAUCCGGGCGGUCCUUGGGGUGAAGCCGCGCAAGCGGCCGGGCUACUUCGCCAGCCCGAAUCCGACAGGUCAUCCUUCACAGGCGGCUGACGAAGGGUUG